GCAGCUAUGGCCGAGUGGUCUAAGGCGGUGGACUUAAGCUAGCUUACUUACGUAAGGGCUGAAACCCACUGGGAAACCGCGUGAGUUCGAACCUCACUGGCUGCA
rnacentral:tRNA from 1 species